CUCCUGGGAGAAAUAGGCAGAUUCCAGGAGUGGGGCAGGGCAAAUACAAUAUGAGUCCUAAAUAUCUUGUGGUGCCAGAAGGAGUGGAUGUUAUGACAGAGGAAUGUAGGAAGGAAGGAUAUCAGACUCUGAGCGUCCAUGUAAAACACUGAAUAAAACUAACUGAUAAACAGGGCUUUUUCCUCAGAAAGUUGUCGUAGUUGUGACUCCAUCAAAUUCUUCUAACAGCAAGUACUCAUUUGGGCUCAUUUUACAGAAGGAAAACUCUUGACGUGGUUAAGUGAACACAGAAAUUUUACUCAAACUUGGCUUCUAUUCCAUAUUUCAUGUUCUUUUUACUAUGUCAUAUACCUACCAAUGGCUCUAAACAGUUAAUAUAUUUUCUAGAAUAAAGUAUCAUAUUGAUGUUAAUCUA